UACGAAGGGGGCUAGCGUUGUUCGGAAUUACUGGGCGUAAAGCGCGUGUAGGCGGACCAACAAGUCAGGCGUGAAAUCCCUGGGCUCAACCCAGGAACUGCACCUGAAACUGUUGGUCUUGAGUGGUGGAGAGGGAAGCAGAAUUCCUGGUGUAGAGGUGAAAUUCGUAGAUAUCAGGAGGAACACCGGUGGCGAAGGCGGCUUCCUGGACACUAACUGACGCUGAGACGCGACAGCGUGGGGAGCAAACAGG
rnacentral:rRNA from 1 species